AGGAGGAACAACCACAGUGGCAGCGGCCAGCUCUCCAGCCCUGGAGUCAGCUCCCGCAGUAACUAGGGAGCGCUUGGUCUGCAGGGGCCUGGAUGCUCUGGGGGCGG
rnacentral:pre_miRNA from 1 species